rnacentral:rRNA from 1 species
GAUGAACGCUGGCGGCGUGCCUAAUACAUGCAAGUCGAGCGAACGGACGAGAAGCUUGCUUCUCUGAUGUUAGCGGCUGACGGGUGAGUAACACGUGGAUAACCUACCUAUAAGACUGGGAUAACUUCGUGAAACCGUAGCUAAUACCGGAUAAUAUUUUGAACCGCAUGGUUCAAAAGUGAAAGACGGUCUUGCUGUCACUUAUAGAUGGAUCCGCGCUGCAUUAGCUAGUUGGUAAGGUAACGGCUUACCAAGGCAACGAUGCAUAGCCGACCUGAGAGGGUGAUCGGCCACACUGGAACUGAGACACGGUCCAGACUCCUACGGGAGGCAGCAGUAGGGAAUCUUCCGCAAUGGGCGAAAGCCUGACGGAGCAACGCCGCGUGAGUGAUGAAGGUCUUCGGAUCGUAAAACUCUGUUAUUAGGGAAGAACAUAUGUGUAAGUAACUGUGCACAUCUUGACGGUACCUAAUCAGAAAGCCACGGCUAACUACGUG